rnacentral:rRNA from 1 species
GAUGAACGCUAGCGAUAGGCUUAACACAUGCAAGUCGAGGGGCAGCAUUAUUUUAGCUUGCUAAGAUAGAUGGCGACCGGCGCACGGGUGCGUAACGCGUAUGCAACCUGCCUGUAAUUAGGGAAUAACCCGGUGAAAGUCGGACUAAUACCCUAUAUUCUUUUUUUUCCGCAUGGAGAAGGACGGAAAGAUUUAUUGAUUACAGAUGGGCAUGCGUCCCAUUAGCUCGUUGGUAAGGUAACGGCUUACCAAGGCAACGAUGGGUAGGGGGACUGAGAGGUUGACCCCCCACACUGGUAUGAGACACGGACCAGACUCCUACGGGAGGCAGCAGUGAGGAAUAUUGGCAUUGGGCGAGAGCCUGAACCAGCAAGUCGCGUGAAGGACGACGGUUCUAUGGAUUGUAAACUUCUUUUGUAGAGGAAUAAUGGCAGCUACGUGUAGCUGAGAUGCAUGUACUCUACGAAUAAGUAUCGGCUAACUCCGUGCCAGCAGCCGCGGUAAUACGGAGGAUACGAGCGUUAUCCGGAAUUAUUGGGUUUAAAGGGUGCGUAGGUGGCGUAUUAAGUCAGUGGUGAAAAGCUGCAGCUCAACUGUAGUCUUGCCGUUGAAACUGAUAUGCUAGAGAGGAGACGAGGUAUGCGGAAUGUGUGGUGUAGCGGUGAAAUGCAUAGAUAUCACACAGAACGCCGAUUGCGAAGGCAGCGUACCAGGCUCCGUCUGACACUGAAGCGCGAAAGCGUGGGGAUCAAACAGGAUUAGAUACCCUGGUAGUCCACGCAGUAAACGAUGAAUACUAGAUUUUUGCGAUAUAGUGUAAGAGUCUAAGCGAAAGCGAUAAGUAUUCCACCUGGGGAGUACGCCGGCAACGGUGAAACUCAAAGGAAUUGACGGGGGCCCGCACAAGCGGAGGAACAUGUGGUUUAAUUCGAUGAUACGCGAGGAACCUUACCCGGGAUUGAAAUUUAGAUGGCGGCAGAUGAGAGUUUGCUUUCUUUCGGGACAUCUAAGUAGGUGCUGCAUGGUUGUCGUCAGCUCG